AGAAGAGAAGGGGAGAGUGGCAGUUCCUGAUUACUUGAGAACUUCAGGGAAGCCUGAAGACCCACCUGGAAUGUGAAUAAGAGUUUUCAGGUGAUGGCAGCCUUAUUUUAGGGACCCUAAUUCCUCUUCUGAAAUUGUCUUCAGAUCCAAUUUUCA